rnacentral:lncRNA from 1 species
CAGAAUGUUCGUAGAGGGUCCAUUUCUAUAGCUUUACUUUGCAUUUUAGUACUGACUACAUCCGCGGGUAUGUUCUUUUAAUUGUAAUUAUUUAUUUUAAUGAGAUUGCAAAAUACAAUCAUAUUACGUUUGGGUUUGGUGUCCAUUCUGGCUACUAAAAAGCACAGUUCACUUAUUAUUGCUUGUGAUGAAAGCACGAUUUCAAUUAUACAUUUUGUUUUCAAUUUCCAGUUGAGCAUGCUAUUACUCUCACGCAAGGUUGGCUUAUCAGACUGUUUUGACUGUUAUAUUUGAACUCAUUUUGAUAAAAGAUUUAUGAGUUUUAUGGUUAUUUUGGUUAGAUCAUACCUUGCGAAGUAAAAUAACAAAAAAUCCGAAAUCCGAAAUAUAAGGAAAAUUUAAAACGGAAAGGUUUUUCUCAAAUGUCAAAAUCAAAAGCUCUAACACAUCUAACGAAUGGAAAACAAGUGACAACUCUUAUAUUCCUGACUUGUUACAGGUAUUUUAUUUUGUCGAAAAAGGUGGAUACAACCUGGUUAUUUUAUCUAGCCAACCUCUCGCUUGUAUGACAGCUGCAUAGAAUUUCAUAAUAUUGAAAACAUUUUGUGAACAAAACAAACAGACAUAGAAGGUUGAAAUGUCAACAUUAUGCUAUUAUUUUAAAAUCACUUUAAAACUAACACCUAUGUCACCAAAGAUCAACUAAAUGGUAUAUAGACACUCUAAAAACCAACACAUACGAAAAAAAGACUACAAGAAAAUGAAUAUAGCACAAGAAAACAAUGGUGGGAUGUAUAAAUACCGAGUCAUGCUAAAAAGAUAUCACCACAAUGAAGUAUUAUAUAGUAAAGGUUCAAAUGGUAUUCAAGAAACUCGAAUUAUAAAACGUAUGUGCAUAGAAAUCAAAUCACCUCUGUCUUGGCUAACAUUGUAGGAAUUUCACAAUAAAUUUUACAAAAUUACUGUAGUUUAUUUCAAUCAUAUUUCAUUGUAUUCCUAAUUCAUUUGAAGGACGUGCUGAUAGGACCAAAAGAUCAUUCUUGAAUAUGUACAGUCAGAUCAGUCAUUUGUUUGAAAUGGGUUAUACGUUUGGGAAUUAUCUUCGAGACUAUGGAUGUUGGUGUGGAGUUGGCGGAAGCGGUACACAUCAAGACAACAUUGAUAGGUGAGAUGCUCUUAUUUUACAGAUGUCAGAACAUCUUAAAGCGAGUACGAGCAAUCCAAAGAAGUAUAAUUAAAUGAGCAACCUGUGCAAAGUAGGAGAAAAUUAACCCUUUUUCCGAUUAUUUUGUUGUCCAUAGAAAACAUGAAACAUAUGCUUUUCUCCCAUUUGAACCAAUUAUUCGCUUUAUUUUACUUCUUUUAACUGCACUUUCGUACCGAGUACCAGAAUGUCAUACCACAUAGAAGGUAACCUGUCGAGCAGUUAUAGUAAUAGAAAUAGAAAUAGAAAUAUACUCUGGAGACAAAAGUCGGUAAUAUAAAAAAAUAUAUUCUAUGACGCUAAUGUAUUAUGAAUAUAUUUAGCGUACUGAUUAUGAUUUAAAAUCUACAUAUCAGUUUUAAAUUAUCAGAUCAUGUUUGUUCAUGUUGCACGCCACUACGAUAUAAUAUUUUGAGGUUCAACUUUACCCGAACACUUUUGUCAGUUUCGGUACUUGAUAUAAGACUCGUGAGGGUAAAAGGGGAAAAAAUACACAUAUGUGAAUCCGGAAAUAAAUUUUAAAUGCAUCACUCCAUGAUGACCUCAAUUAUGAUAAAGAGGAAAACUGUGAAUUUACAGAUUUUAGACUCAGAAAGCUAUGAAAAUAACAAGAAAUGGUCUUUAUGCUUAUCCCUAUCUUACAUCGAUUAUACCAAGCUCUGAUUCCUUUGACGGAUUUGGCUAACUUUUUGCAUUUUGGAUUAGAUCUUUUAUAUAAGAUGUGCAUCUGGUGCAAGAAAAUUGAUACCGUUAAUUUUAUUAGACAACUUUCAACCAAAAUUUGUUGGGUUAAAUUAGUUAUGAAAUGUCUCUGAGAUUGCGGUUUUAUGUGUUGUUCUUUAAUUACGUCGCCUAUUCCUAUCUUUAUGUAUUCUUUACUUUUUAGCACCCUGAUAUUGUCUUACCAUUUUUUGGUUCCUUUUGUCUGUAUUUGUUCAUUGUCCAUAUCUUUGUUAAUUAUCAUCUAUCCUGUAUAUCCCAAUUAAAAAGACAAAACAUUAAACAAGCAAGUGGACUCAUUCAACCCCGUAGAUGUUCUUUUUAUCAAAAUCGUUUACAAAAGUUACCUUCAAAACAUAAAACAAAAUAAAAUAAAUGAAUACUUUGUAGAUGUUGUAUGGUACAUGAUAGGUGUUAUGAUCAGAAUAGUAGGGAUGGAUGUAGUGGUAUCCACCUAGAUGAUUACAGCUACGAGUGGACCAGUGUGUCGAUCAGAUGUACAAGUAAGUACAUGUAGUCUCAAAAACAACCUUUAUUUUAUAUUUUUAAUAUACAACGUUUACAUAACAUAUUGAAAACACAGCGUUGUCAAUAAGACUUUUUACUGAAAUACUACGUAAACACAAAAAAAUGUAUGUAUCUGUAUCAUGAAUUAAAUUUAAAGGAUGACACUAGCUGUACAAUGACUAUAAAUUGUACAUAGAAAUUAAUGGUUGUUGGUAAAAUUGCUAGCAUGUAGAUUAGUCCUUCUGUGUUGGGUUAAGUUAUAUAGUUAAGUAUGCUGUAAAAUAAAAUUUAUCCUAUAUCUAAAGCACUCUAAACGUUGUAGAAUUAAUUAUCAUGAAUUGCAAACAUAAUUUUUUGGAAGUUCAGAAUUACUAGUUUUGUGAAGUUUUGAAAGAAUUCCUGGUCACGAUAGAAAUGUUUAAUAGAUAUAGGCAGAUGUGGUAUGAGUGCAACUUAUUUUCACCGAUCAUGUCAUCGCAACUCCUUCUACGUUGUAUAUCGUAUUUUGUUGAAAAGUUCAACGGUGUUUAAAAGUAACAGAACUAAAUCAUUAUGCAGAUGUAUAGUAUGCUAAGAGUGUUUGUAGAGUAAUGGCCCUUUAAACAAUUGACUCUGUUGCGUAUCUUGUUCUGAUAACACCACAAUACUGAUCUUUGUAUUGUAGUCUCUAGCAUAUUUAAUCAUCAAUUCGGGAUCCAGGGAUAAGGAAAAAUCUUAGCGUACAGUUUAGUUUGUAUUCUUACAUGUUUGCACACAUACACAUUUCACUUGUUACAUAAUUGUCAACCAGGAUUAAAUGUUUUUUCCUUUUCAUUUUCAGAUAGUCCCGGAUCUUGCGAUUAUAAAAACUGCAACUGCGACAAGGAAUUCUUGGAAUGUUUGAGAAGUGCAGGUUUCCCACGGACUUUUUUACCUGGACUUCGAAACUUCAACAAAUGUUGAUCAAUAUGAACAAUCUGAUUUAACUCACAGAAUGAUU